CAUCUGAGAACUGAGGAUUCCAUCCUAUUUUUUUUUUCUACAUAUAUAGUUUUUUCUGCUUUCCCCUCUCUUUCUUCUUCUCUCUUUUUAUACUCAUCUCUCUCCCUGUAUCUCUCUCACAUUCUCUCUCUCUCCCACUCUCUGUACUGCUUGCAUAGCUACUGCUGCACUGGUGAUAGGGAGCUUGCAUAUGUGAAAUAUUAAUAAGAAAAUGGCUUAUGCAUUUUUAACUAUGUGCCAGCCAGACGUAGUCUCAGAGGAGUGUAAAUUCUCCUCCAGACCAGGUGUGGAGCUCCUGUGCAACUAACUAGUUUGGUAACUCAUAACCUUACAAACUGCCUUCAUCUUUGAUAAUAUGUUUUUGUCUUAAAUUCAGACCAUUAUAUUAAUCCCAAACUCAAUCCUUCACGUCUUUCAUAUGUGAGGUCAGGGAUUAGGCAGAGAGGCAGUAGUGAGUGUGUGCUCUGCACUGCUGUCCACUUCAAUCUACCCAACCAGGGCUGAUCUCACAAAAUAUAGAUACAGAGAGCGAGAGAGAGAGAGAGAGUUGUUGGCGGUGAUGGGGGGUGUCAGAGGCUCACAUGGGGAAAACAGAAAAAGAGGGGAAAAAUCAGAGGAGAACGGGCAGAAAGAGAGGAAAAGGCAGCUAGCAUGGUGCUCUCAUCCAGACUACCAUGAUGUAAUCCAACUGUAAUCCCAAACAUCAAAGAACCACACAGCUGUCAUGUGUCACAAACACACAUCCACACACUCUCUCUUCAAAGACUUUUGCAAUGUGCGUUUGGCUAAAAUUUGCUUCUGACUCAUUUUUUGAGGAAAAAUAUCAUUCAUUUUUAAAACACUGUUAAUGAUAUUGUAACAUUUCUUAGUUAGCUUGGUUGUUUUUGCCUUUUGGCUCUGUGACAGACACUCUGGCCAUAUGGUUCAGCUUGAAUAAGGCAUAAGACCUCCUUGUGACCUUUCAGAGUGUAUAAACACAAACAUUUGCAUACACAUAUGCACAAACACAGUCAUAUGACUGUGUAGCAAAUGGCAUACAGGAACACAGCAGAUUACCUCGUAUUUUAUCUGUUAUUAAGUACACAAUCAGACAAAUUCAACAAACAAAGAGGCACAUCCACUCAUAGCUGCUUGUAUCAUUAUGUUAAGAAGCUUUUGCUAUUGUAUGCAUUAUUUACACAUAUACACAUUAUAAUUAUAUGUAUUUAUAAUUAUAUAACAGUCAUAGUCAUCUUCUGAAUAAAAUGGCUUUUAACAAUACAGCCAUGCGUUAUAAAGUAUAUAGAUUUGCUGUUUUAACUGUCUAACUAGGAUUAGCAUGAAGAGUCCUUGGAGUUAUCUAACAUUUCAGUCAUUAUUCCACUAUCUUUAACACAGUUCCAUGGAAACCUACAGAAUAUCUACUUUUAAUGAAGUGUUAACCUAUUGUAACAAUAAACAUUAUUUUACAUAUACAUUUUCAUAGUAUUGUCAUCAAUAAAACAUGUACUUCAGGGUAGUAUUGCAAAUAGGACAACUUGUAUCCGAAAUACGGUUGUUAGUCAGUCGUUCACGGUGUUUUGAGCUCUGACCACUAUGUGGCAUUGUGUUUAUUGUUAGUGUUAGUUUGCUUGAGAGAACUACAGAUCCUGUUGUGCCUAUGUUUAAAUAUAAAAAUAAAUAUAUUGAG